rnacentral:rRNA from 1 species
CAGGCUUAACACAUGCAAGUCGAGGGGCAGCAUGGUCUUAGCUUGCUAAGGCCGAUGGCGACCGGCGCACGGGUGAGUAACACGUAUCCAACCUGCCGUCUACUCUUGGACAGCCUUCUGAAAGGAAGAUUAAUACAAGAUGGCAUCAUGAGUCCGCAUGUUCACAUGAUUAAAGGUAUUCCGGUAGACGAUGGGGAUGCGUUCCAUUAGAUAGUAGGCGGGGUAACGGCCCACCUAGUCUUCGAUGGAUAGGGGUUCUGAGAGGAAGGUCCCCCACAUUGGAACUGAGACACGGUCCAAACUCCUACGGGAGGCAGCAGUGAGGAAUAUUGGUCAAUGGGCGAGAGCCUGAACCAGCCAAGUAGCGUGAAGGAUGACUGCCCUAUGGGUUGUAAACUUCUUUUAUAAAGGAAUAAAGUCGGGUAUGGAUACCCGUUUGCAUGUACUUUAUGAAUAAGGAUCGGCUAACUCCGUGCCAGCAGCCGCGGUAAUACGGAGGAUCCGAGCGUUAUCCGGAUUUAUUGGGUUUAAAGGGAGCGUAGAUGGAUGUUUAAGUCAGUUGUGAAAGUUUGCGGCUCAACCGUAAAAUUGCAGUUGAUACUGGAUAUCUUGAGUGCAGUUGAGGCAGGCGGAAUUCGUGGUGUAGCGGUGAAAUGCUUAGAUAUCACGAAGAACUCCGAUUGCGAAGGCAGCCUGCUAAGCUGCAACUGACAUUGAGGCUCGAAAGUGUGGGUAUCAAACAGGAUUAGAUACCCUGGUAGUCCACACGGUAAACGAUGAAUACUCGCUGUUUGCGAUAUACGGCAAGCGGCCAAGCGAAAGCGUUAAGUAUUCCACCUGGGGAGUACGCCGGCAACGGUGAAACUCAAAGGAAUUGACGGGGGCCCGCACAAGCGGAGGAACAUGUGGUUUAAUUCGAUGAUACGCGAGGAACCUUACCCGGGCUUAAAUUGCAGAUGAAUUACGGUGAAAGCCGUAAGCCGCAAGGCAUCUGUGAAGGUGCUACAUGGUUGUCGUCAGCUCGUGCCGUGAGGUGUCGGCUUAAGUGCCAUAACGAGCGCAACCCUUGUUGUCAGUUACUAACAGGUUCUGCUGAGGACUCUGACAAGACUGCCAUCGUAAGAUGUGAGGAAGGUGGGGAUGACGUCAAAUCAGCACGGCCCUUACGUCCGGGGCUACACACGUGUUACAAUGGGGGGUACAGAGGGCCGCUACCACGCGAGUGGAUGCCAAUCCCCAAAACCUCUCUCAGUUCGGACUGGAGUCUGCAACCCGACUCCACGAAGCUGGAUUCGCUAGUAAUCGCGCAUCAGCCACGGCGCGGUGAAUACGUUCCCGGGCCUUGUACACACCGCCCGUCAAGCCAUGGGAGCCGGGGGUACCUGAAGUGCGUAACCGCGAGGAGCGCCCUAGGGUAAAACUGGUGACUGGGGCUAAGUC